UCCUACGGGGGGCAGCAGUGGGGAAUAUUGCACAAUGGGGGAAACCCUGAUGCAGCGACGCCGCGUGAGUGAAGAAGUAUCUCCGUACGUAAAGCUCUAUCAGCAGGGAAGAAAAAAAGUCUUUGGCAUUGGACGGUACCUGACUAAGAAGCCCCGGCUAACUACGUGCCAGCAGCCGCGGUAAUACGUAGGGGGCAAGCGUUAUCCGGAUUUACUGGGUGUAAAGGGAGCGUAGACGGCAGCGCAAGUCUGGAGGGAAAUGCUGGGGCUCAACCCCGGAACUGCUUUGGAAACUGUGCAGCUAG
rnacentral:rRNA from 1 species